rnacentral:rRNA from 1 species
AUUGAACGCUAGCGGGAGGCCUUACACAUGCAAGUCGAACGAGUGGCGGACGGGUGAGUAAUGUCUCGGAACGUGCCCAAUAGCGGGGGAUAACUACUGGAAACGGUAGCUAAUACCGCAUACUAUCGGAUGUGCCCAUAUGGGAUUAGCUAGUUGGUGGGGUAAAGGCUCACCUAGGCGACGAUCCGUAGCUGGUCUGAGAGGAUGACCAGCCACACUGGGACUGAGACACGGCCCAGACUCCUACGGGAGGCAGCAGUGGGGAAUUUUGGACAAUGGGGGAAACCCUGAUUCAGCCAUGCCGCGUGUAUGAUGAAGGCCUUCGGGUUGUAAAGUACUUUCGGCAGAGAAGCGGUAUCUGCAGAAUAAGCACCGGCUAACUACGUGCCAGCAGCCGCGGUAAUUC